GGCAAGAUGGCCGAGUGGUUAAGGCGGCAGACUCAAGAUCUGAGGUCCCAUGUGAAAAUUUGGGAUUCAUCAAUCUUGGCCUCGUAUAAGAGGACAAAAUUCUGCUGGAGUAAUCCGCGAGGGUUCGAAUCCCUCUCUUGUCA
rnacentral:tRNA from 1 species